rnacentral:rRNA from 1 species
CCUACGGGAGGCAGCAGUGGGGAAUAUUGGGCAAUGGGCGCAAGCCUGACCCAGCAACGCCGCGGGAAGGAAGAAGGCUUUCGGGGUGUAAACUUCUUUUCGGAGGGACGAAGAAAGUGACGGUACCUCAGGAAUAAGCCACGGCUAACUACGUGCCAGCAGCCGCGGCAAUACGUAGGUGGCAAGCGUUAUCCGGAUUUAGUGGGUGUAACGGGCGUGUAGGCGGGAAAGCAAGUCCGAUGUGAAAACUCAGGGCUCAACCCUGAGCCUGCAUUUGAAACUGUUUUUCUUGAGUGCUGGGGAGGCAAUCGGAAUUCCGUGUGUAGCGGUGAAAUGCGUAGAUAUCCGGAGGAACACCAGUGGCGAAGGCGGCUUGCUGGACAGUAACUGACGCUGAGGCGCGAAAGCGUGGGGAGCAAACAGGAUUAGAUACCCGAGUAGUC